AACGCUCGUAGCAAUACGGGAGUGGCAGACGGGUGAGUAACGCGUGGGAACAUACCCUUUGGUUCGGAAUAACUGAGAGAAAUUUCAGCUAAUACCGGAUGUGCCCUUCGGGGGAAAGAUUUAUCGCCAAAGGAUUGGCCCGCGUCUGACUAGCUAGUUGGUGAGGUAACGGCUCACCAAGGCGACGAUCAGUAGCUGGUCUGAGAGGAUGAUCAGCCACACUGGGACUGAGACACGGCCCAGACUCCUACGGGAGGCAGCAGUGGGGAAUAUUGGACAAUGGGGGCAACCCUGAUCCAGCCAUGCCGCGUGAGUGAUGAAGGCCUUAGGGUUGUAAAGCUCUUUCGUCAGGGAAGAUAAUGACGGUACCUGAAGAAGAAGCCCCGGCUAACUUCGUGCCAGCAGCCGCGGUAAUACGAAGGGGGCUAGCGUUGUUCGGAAUUACUGGGCGUAAAGCGCACGUAGGCGGACAUUUAAGUCAGGGGUGAAAUCCCAGGGCUCAACCCUGGAACUGCCUUUGAUACUGGGUGUCUUGAGUACGAGAGAGGUGAGUGGAAUUCCGAGUGUAGAGGUGAAAUUCGUAGAUAUUCGGAAGAACACCAGUGGCGAA
rnacentral:rRNA from 1 species